rnacentral:rRNA from 1 species
GACGAAGGGGGCUAGCGUUGUUCGGAAUUACUGGGCGUAAAGCGAGUGUAGGUGGUUGUCCAAGUUGGAUGUGAAAGCCUUGAGCUCAACUCAAGAAAUGCAUUCAGGACUGGGCGGCUAGAGGACCGGAGAGGAUAGUGGAAUUCCCAGUGUAGUGGUGAAAUACGUAGAGAUUGGGAAGAACACCAGUGGCGAAGGCGGCUAUCUGGACGGUUUCUGACACUAAGACUCGAAAGCGUGGGAAGCAAACAGG